rnacentral:tRNA from 1 species
UCUAUUAUGACAGAAUUAAUGUAAUGAAUUUAAAAUUCAUUUAUAAAGAAUAAUCUUUUUUUAGAA